rnacentral:lncRNA from 1 species
GUUUCGCGCGGGUUAGUCGCUAACAAUUAAAAAGGAUCAGACGAUUGUGUAAGGGACAAACCUCUUGAGACAAAGUCCCAAAAAGGGGUGUACUUUUAUUGGCGAUGACUUUACAAUUGGAAAUUAAAAACAAUGUGCCUCCAAGGAGCGCAAGUACACGAGUUACUGAAAGAAAAGUGUUUAAGUUUAAGCUAAGGAAAUUAAAAUUACAUGUUCUCUAUUCGAGAGUUUUUUGAUUCGGUCCUUUGCUUCUAUAUCUUUUCUCCCUUUUAUACUUCAUGGACGAUCUCUUUGUGAUCAACCGUCCUAAAAACUGUUUGAUCGUCCUAUAACUGCCCACUUUCCUCGUAAUGGCCAACUUGUCAUGAAAAUUGCCUUUUUUAACUGCUGUCAUUACUCUUCAUCGUUGAACCGCUUUCGAUUGAAUUUCUUGAAUCAUGGAACGUGAUAGGGCUGCUUUAAUAACUGCUUUGAUAACUGCACUUCUUGAUAACCAUGACGCUUUAUGUUUGUUAAGACCUUGGGCGACUUGAAGGUUUGGG